GUCGCGAUGAACAAAUGAUUUAAGAAGUGCACAGCAAUUUAAUUCUAAUCUGCGCACGUUCACGGCAACGAAAACCAUCCAAGAAAAGUCACAGGUUUGAAGCUGGUUGUUUCACUUUCUGCAUAACAUUUCCAUAAGCGUUUUUUUUGUACGAAUAUUUGCCAACUGUUGCGACGAGAACGCAACAAAAGCAUACUCGCCAAUACAUUGAAGAUUGCCUCGCAGACACACGUGGGUAAAUUAAGCGUGGAAAACGUAAUUAUGCUUUGUUUCUACCUUUUCGGGACAAUAUUUUGGACGUUCUUCUGUGCAAAAAAAUGUUGGACGAACGAAAAAAAGUCAUGUAUGAUGGUCAAGUCCUUAACUUGACAAGCCCUUGCGUCAGUUACAGCUGCCAUAAAGGAAAUAUUACGAC